GUCCGUUCCUCCAGCUGGCAGCAGAGACGUUCUCUGUUGGUUUUAGGGACGUUGCAGUUACCUUCCUGAGGCCUCGCCUGCACGCGCAGGCGUGACUUGAAAUAAGAUCAUAAGAGUUUUUAAUAGAAAUACGGAGCUUUGAUGCAUGCCCUGGAGCGCACCGGCCGCAGCGUUUUGCUUAGGAAGAGGUUGCAAAGGCCAGCAUCCCAGAUUAUUCCUGAUGUUCGUGCUCCUGUCCAGGGAUCAGCCACCGAAUGCUCUCCGUUCGGACGGUAGCGUACAUGACAAAGCUAGCCAGGAAGAGCAAAGAAAAGAGAAGCAGCCAGUCUAUGCCUUUUGUCAGAACGCUGGGCAGGGGGCCUUCCCAGUCUUCCUCGGUCACAGCCACGUCGCUUUUAGCUUCGAUACCUGAAAAAGCAGGCACCUGAUCAACACCAGUAAUAAUCAUCAAAUGCAGAGAAGUUGGUUGUAUUUGGACCUUUGUUCCUUGUCUCAGACUAAAGCGUAUGUACCGUUGGACUUAAAAUUUUGGUGAGACAGUCUCGUAUUUUAA